ACAAAAAAAAUAAUAAAAAAACUAAAUAUAUAAUCGAACUAAUAAACCAAAAGUGACAAAUUAACACUAAGAUAGUUUACCGAUGUUGAAAUCUCAUAAUUUGAUUAAGUAGACAAACCAAGAUCACAAACAAAAAUUGAAGGAAUUUCAAACACACACUUAGCCAAAAUGUCACCAUUCGAGAAAAAAAAACGACACAGCCG
rnacentral:lncRNA from 1 species